rnacentral:rRNA from 1 species
AGAGUGAACGCUGGCGGUAGGCCUAACACAUGCAAGUCGAACGGCAGCACAGUAGGAGCUUGCUCUUACGGGUGGCGAGUGGCGGACGGGUGAGGAAUACAUCGGAAUCUACCUUUUGGUGGGGGAUAACGUAGGGAAACUUACGCUAAUACCGCAUACGCCCUUCGGGGGAAAGCCGGGGACCAGCAAUGGCCUGGCGCUGAUAGAUGAGCCGAUGUCGGAUUAGCUAGUUGGUGAGGUAAUGGCUCACCAAGGCGACGAUCCGUAGCUGGUCUGAGAGGAUGAUCACGCCACACUGGAACUGGACGACGACGGUACCAGACCUACCGUACGGGAGCAGCGAGGUGGGAAUAGUAGGACAAGUGGGACGACGAA